UACGUAGGGUGCAAGCGUUGUCCGGAAUUAUUGGGCGUAAAGAGCUCGUAGGCGGUUUGUCGCGUCUGCUGUGAAAACUCGGGGCUUAACUCCGGGCCUGCAGUGGGUACGGGCAGACUAGAGUGCGGUAGGGGAGACUGGAAUUCCUGGUGUAGCGGUGAAAUGCGCAGAUAUCAGGAGGAACACCGGUGGCGAAGGCGGGGUCUCUGGGCCGUAACUGACGCUGAGGAGCGAAAGCGUGGGGAGCGAACAGG
rnacentral:rRNA from 1 species